CUGGAAGUGAUGGAUAACGUGACAUCUGAUUGUACAGUGAUGUUCAAUAUUCAUACUGUCUGAUCCAG